AUAAGCUAUUUAUUUGAACAAUUACUGAUUCGACAUCCACAACUAAACUAAUCGGAAAAACUUAAAACCAUAACAAUUGACAAAAAAUUCAACUAAGGCUUACAUUAAUCGAAAUUAAACUAACACCCAAGCGUUUAAACCAAACAGAAUCAAACUGAGAUUAAAAAUACAAAGGGGUUACUGAGUUUGAAACAAACGACCCUAAAUGAAGAACACAAUUAGUGAAAGAAAUAGAUGAACUAAGAACGAAUUCAAAGAACUUACCAAAUUAGAUCCGAACCCUAGUGCCUUCCCAAUUUCGACCAUGAUGUGAUAUUAAUCAACUAUUCUUAUCAAGAAUAGUUAAAUAAUAUCAAAUCGUGGUGAAGUCGUGCCCAAAUCAGAGAAGAAAACAACCUUGUUCAAACUACAAAUUUUAAGUACCUAGAUUCGAGAGGUUUGGGGAAUAUUGGAA
rnacentral:lncRNA from 1 species